AGCCUGGGCCGUGCUGGUGGUUCGCCUCCGCGUCCGCUCCGGCGCGAGGCGAGGCAAGAGGGAAUCCGGUGCGAAUCCGGAACUGCCCCGCAGCGGUGAGCGGGAACGAAAGCCGCCCCCGACGCGCACGUCGGGACAAGCACUGGACCACGGGUCUGGGAAGCGGCGGCCGGUAGGAACCCCGGUGCGACCGGGAACGCCCGCGAGUCCGAAGACCUGCCAUCGGCGCAUCCGCCGC
rnacentral:ncRNA from 1 species